CGAGGUCACCUGGAAGAAUGGUUGUUUUGCGUUCGGCAAGCGCCGGCCGGGCCUACAGAGCGGGUGACAAAGCCCCAUACGCUCGAGGAUCGGACGCGGUGCCGCCGCUGCCUUUGGGGCCCGUCCCCCCCGAAGAGGGGACGACGACCCAACACACAAGCCGUGCUUGAUGGGCAGCAAUGACGCUCGGACAGGCAUGCCCCCCGGAAUACCAGGGGGCGCAAUGUGCGUUCAAAGACUCGAUGAUUCACGGAAUUCUGCAAUUCACACUAGUUAUCGCAUUUCGCUGCGUUCUUCAUCGAUGCCGGAACCAAGAGAUCCAUUGUUGAAAGUUUUAACUGAUUGCGAUACAAUCAACUCAGACUUCACUAGAUCAGACAGAGUUCGUGGUGUCUCCGGCGGGCGCGGGCCCGGGGGCUGAUGCCCCCCGGCGGCCUUAAAGGCGGGCCCGCCGAAGCAACUAAGGUUACAGUAAACACGGGUGGGAGGUUGGGCUCGCUAGGAACCCUACACUCGGUAAUGAUCCUUCCGCA
rnacentral:misc_RNA from 1 species